GGCCUGGAUGAAGGGAUAGAGUCCACCCUUAGCAAGUUUGCUGAUGAUACAAUGCUGGGAGGAGUGGCUGGUACACCAGAAGGCUGUGUUACCACUCAGCAGGACCUGGGCAGACUGGAGAGUUGGGCAGGGAGGAACCUGAUGAGAGUUGACAAGAGCAAGUGUAGAGUCUUGCAAAUGGGGAGGAAAGACUGCAUGCAUCAGUACAGGUUGGAGGCUGAUCUGCUGGAGAGGGUCUCUGCUGAGAAGGACCCAGAUGGGUGACAAGAUGGCCGUGAGCCAGCAGUGUGCCCUGGUGGCCAAUAAGGCCAAUGGUUUCCUGAGGUGCACCUGCCAGCAGGCUGAGGGAGGUGAGAGAGGCUGCAUUCAGAAUACUGUGUCCAAUUCUGAGAUCCCCCAGCUCAAAAAAAGACAGAUCUCCUAGAAGGAGUCCAAUGGAGGGCACAGAGAUGAUGAAGGGCCUGGAGCAUCUCCUGUGUGAGGAAAGGCUGCGUAACCUGGGCCUGUUCAACCUGAGGAAAAGAAGACUGAGGGGGAUCUGAAUCACGUUUAUAAAUAUCUAAAGGGAGGUGGGAGGCAAAUGGAUGGGGCCAGGCUGUUUUCGGUGGUUAGUGAUAGCACAAGGAGCAAUGGCCUAAAACUUGGACACGGAAUGUCCCAUACUAACAUGCAGAAGAGCUUCUUUACAGUAAGGGUGAUGGAGCACUGGAACAGGUUGCCCAGAGAGGCUGUGGAGUCUCCUUCUAUGGAGAUAUUCAAGACCAGUCUGGAUGCCUACCUGUGUAACCUAUUGCAAGGGGUCUGCUUUAGCAGGCAGCUUGGACUCAACGAUCUCUUGAGGACCCUUCCAACCCCUCUCAUUCUGUGGUAUGGUGAACAUGUGGUGUCAUAUUUAAUAUUAAUGUGGCCUCUCAUGCAUGUCACAAGGGUAGCAGCUAUUUUUUGAACUUGAAGGUUCAAAACUGAAACAGAUGAAGUCACUUUAAAGCCAUAGGUCCAAGUCCUGCUGAGGCAAAGAAUAAAACAAAGCUCAGUGCAGACCAACUGCUUAGGAAGCACUGAUGUAUCUUAAGAGCAGAGUGCUGUUUCCUUCUGAGUAUUUUUGAAGCUAUGUUUUGUAGAGUAGAAGCAUUCCGUAUCUCUCACCAGAGUGUUCUCCUUCAUCUUUAGGAGGAAGUUUUUCACUCAGAGGGUGGUGACGCACUGAACAGGUUGCCCAAGGAGGCUGUGGAUGCCCCAUCCCUGCAGGCAUUCAAGGCCAGGCUGGAUGUGGCUCUGGGCAGCCUGGGCUGCUGGUUGGUGACCCUGCACAUAGCAGGGGGUUGGAACUGGAUGAGCGUUGUGGUCCUUUUCAACCCAGGCCAUUCUAUGAUUCUUUUCUAUGCUAGCAAUUGCCUUCCUGCCUUCAUAUUUGCAUCUGCAUGGGCCAGCUGUGCCACCAAAACAGAAUUUUGCAAAGAACAGUGGUGAUUUAAGAUGGCAUCUUUGCAGGUUGCAUUUUAUCAC
rnacentral:lncRNA from 1 species